rnacentral:rRNA from 1 species
GACGAACGCUGGAGGCGUGCUUAACACAUGCAAGUCGGACGAUGAAAUGGAGCUUGCUCCAUGGAUUAGUGGCGAACGGGUGAGUAACACGUGAAUAACCUGCCCUUAAUCUUGGAAUAACCCAGGGAAACCUGGGCUAAUACCGGAUAAGUAAACCUGUGGCAUCACAUGGUUUUGGAAAGUUUUUCGAUUAAGGAUGGAUUCGCGGCCUAUCAGCUUGUUGGUGAGGUAAUGGCUCACCAAGGCGACGACGGGUAGCCGGCCUGAGAGGGUGAACGGCCACACUGGGACUGAGACACGGCCCAGACUCCUACGGGAGGCAGCAGUGGGGAAUAUUGCGCAAUGGACGAAAGUCUGACGCAGCGACGCCUCGUGAGGGACGAAGGUCUUCGGAUUGUAAACCUCUUUCAGCAGGGACGAAGCGAAAGUGACGGUACCUGCAGAAGAAGCACCGGCUAACUAUGUGCCAGCCGCCGCGGUAA